GACGAACGCUGGCGGCGUGCUUAACACAUGCAAGUCGAACGAUGAAGCCUAGCUUGCUAGGUGGAUUAGUGGCGAACGGGUGAGUAAUACGUGAGUGACCUACCUUUGACUCUGGGAUAAGCCUGGGAAACUGGGUCUAAUACCGGAUACGACCAAUCUCCGCAUGGGGUGUUGGUGGAAAGCGUUAUGGAGUGGUUUUAGAUGGGCUCACGGCCUAUCAGCUUGUUGGUGAGGUAAUGGCUUACCAAGGCGACGACGGGUAGCCAGCCUGAGAGGGUGACCGGCCACACUGGGACUGAGACACGGCCCAGACUCCUACGGGAGGCAGCAGUGGGGGAUAUUGCACAAUGGGCGCAAGCCUGAUGCAGCGACGCCGCGUGAGGGAUGACGGCCUUCGGGUUGUAAACCUCUGUUAGCAUCGAAGAAGCGAAAGUGACGGUAGGGCAGAGAAA
rnacentral:rRNA from 1 species